rnacentral:rRNA from 1 species
GUGGGGAAUUUUGGACAAUGGGCGAAAGCCUGAUCCAGCCAUGCCGCGUGCAGGAUGAAGGCCUUCGGGUUGUAAACUGCUUUUGUACGGAACGAAACGGCUCUGGUUAAUACCCGGGGCUAAUGACGGUACCGUAAGAAUAAGCACCGGCUAACUUCGUGCCAGCAGCCGCGGUAAUACGAAGGGUGCAAGCGUUAAUCGGAAUUACUGGGCGUAAAGCGCGCGUAGGUGGUUUUGUAAGUUGGAGGUGAAAUCCCCGGGCUCAACCUGGGAACUGCCUCCAAAACUGCAUGACUAGAGUACGGUAGAGGGUAGUGGAAUUUCCUGUGUAGCGGUGAAAUGCGUAGAUAUAGGAAGGAACACCAGUGGCGAAGGCGACUACCUGGACUGAUACUGACACUGAGGUGCGAAAGCGUGGGGAGCAAACAGGAUUAGAUACCCGAGUAGUCC